rnacentral:rRNA from 1 species
UACGUAGGGGGCAAGCGUUGUCCGGAAUUAUUGGGCGUAAAGAGCGUGUAGGCGGUCCGGUAAGUCAGCUGUGAAAGUCAAGGGCUCAACCCUUGAAUGCCGGUUGAUACUGUCGGGCUAGAGUCCGGAAGAGGCGAGUGGAAUUCCCGGUGUAGCGGUGAAAAUGCGCAGAUAUCGGGAGGAACACCAAUGGCGAAGGCAGCUCGCUGGGACGGGUACUG